rnacentral:tRNA from 1 species
GGUAUCAUGCAAGAUUCCCAUUCUUGCGACCCGGGUUCGAUUCCCGGCUGGUGCA